CAAUAGCGUAUAUUAAAGUUGUUGCAGUUAAAAAGCUCGUAGUUGGAUUUCUGUUUCUGGGGAGCGGUCCGCCUCACGGUGAGCACUGCUGCUCUGGGGACAUCCUCCCGGAGAUGCUGUGUGCACUUUGUUGUGUGCAUGGUGAAUUCGGGACCUUUACUUUGAAAAAUUAGAGUGUUCAAAGCAGGCGUCGGCUUGAAUACAUUAGCAUGGAAUAAUGGAAUAGGACUUUGGUUCUAUUUUGUUGGUUUCUAGGACCGAAGUAAUGAUUAAUAGGGACAGUUGGGGGCAUUAGUAUUUAAUUGUCAGAGGUGAAAUUCUUGGAUUUAUGAAAGACUAACUACUGCGAAAGCAUUUGCCAAGGAUGUUUUCAUUAAUCAAGAACGAAAGUUAGGGAUCGAAGAUGAUCAGAUACCGU
rnacentral:rRNA from 1 species